ACACCACUUCCUUUUUAACUGAAAGAGAGAAAAGCUAAACGAGAGAGAGAGAGAGAGAGAGAGAGAACCGGAGAGCUAGAGAGACGGAAGGCCGGUCACACUUCCGGCAACGAUCACUAAGAUAUCUGGCGAGUUACCACCUGGCCGCCUUCUACCCUUCCAUUUAUACCCUCGGGAAAGAAGCAUGUGCGAACUAUCCUUCUCCCCUGUGGUUCAUAGACUCGCACCCCUACAACUCCAUAAUCAUCUUCAUUGUAGAAUCUUACUGCUUCAAUCUUAGCUUGAGCAAGUUCCAAUCAGCCUCAACACGGAGACUGGAGGUUGCAAAUCGGUUUCAGACAAGGUUAAAACCACCUAUUGGUGGGUUCUCCGAGCAGUCUAGUGACGCUAGGUAUAGGUUAUCGACAAUGUUGUAGGUAAGAACCAGUUACUUUAUCUUUGGUAUGUUAGUGUUUAUUUAAACAGGCAGGCCUCAACAAUUAGGGCUCCAAUUUUUAAUAUUUUCAAUUUUGAUUCUUGCAAUUUUGUUUGCUUGUCUAACUAGGUACCGAAUUGUUAUGAUUCUUGGGUUUUCCAUAGGUGCUAAUUACCUAAAUUAAUUUGUUUAUGUUCUUAUGGUUAGUCAUGGAAGAACUUAAUAUAAUUUGUUGACAAAGUUGGUGAUAUGCGGGAGAAUAGUCAUUUAUCAAGUAAAGUUGAAGGGCAAAAUUAGUUAGAUGGAUAUAGAUAUUGAUGAUGCUGAUAAUAAACAAGUCGAGUGGUCCAUUUGAACAGCGUUUCACAGAUCGUGGAUGAAUACCAGGCACAAAUUUCAUCUUUGAUGACAGAAAACGGGUAUUGUAAGAUUGGCAUUGGACUUUUACACAUAUUCCGUGAAGUUUAUAAACAUUGUAUGAAAUCAUAGUUUGAUUGAUAAGAGUUUUUUUUUUUUAUAAAUGUAUAAGUACUUCAUUUAGGUGAUAAGCUUACGACAUUAGAACCAGAAGCCAUACAGCAGGUAGAACUGGUGGUCAUUUAGGCCCUUGGAAUAUAUUGUGUUAUUUAAGUUGUAUUGUAAGAUUGUUAAACCUUAAGAAAAUUUUAACCGUUUGAAGAUUUAUCUAAUGGUAUAACCGUAUAAAAAACUUAUGUUUUAUUUCUAAAUUUGUGUGCUUCCUUAGUCAGGUCACGAAAAGAUGUGUACAUGUUCAUACUAACACAAAAAGAGUAGAGCUUUCGCAAGCAUCAACAGGUGGGCAGUUUUAGCGGCAAGUUGUUUCGUUUUCCUCCUUCAUUUGACAUUCUUUUUAUCCCAAUCCUGCGUUAUGUUUACUUAAUUAGAUUUGUAACUUUUUUUUAUCAUCAGACUAUAAUUUUCCACCACAACUUCAUUGUUUUUCAUGGAUAUGUGUAUUCUUCAACAUUUAGUUAAUGCUUAUAAUUGUGUGAUUAAUUCAUGUUGUUGGAUGGGUUUCAUCUGAUUAAUUUACACAAAUAUAUGGGUAGCAAAUAAAUAUGACUUUUGUUCAACUUUCAUAUAGGGUUGCAUAAAAUUAAAAGGGAGCUUAAACAAGGAUUUUGAUGGGGCUCAACCUCCUACGAGGAUAGACAGGUAGAGUUUAAAUGACAGUUAAAUAAAUUUAUGAUGUAUGCUCGAGCUCGAAUUGAAUAGUAUCUAAGAUAUGCUUAAGCUUAGCUCAAAAGCUUUGGUACUCAUAUUAAAAUAAUCUUCAUGAAAUUUUGAGGGGGAAAAUUCAGUUUAAGAGAAAAUCAUUAACAAAGAAACAACAAUUACAUUUACAUGUUAUGGCAUGGCUAAAGUAGAAAGAAUGAGUAGUCUGAUGGCUGGAUAUGAGUGUUGUGUCUAAAUGUGCUUCUUAAUUUGCAUUAAUCAUUAAAUUGUUAUUAAUUAUUAAAGGUUUAAUUUAUGAUGGAUGAUUUCAGUGUAGAUUGAUUGUUGCAGAAAAGAAAAAGAACUGGUGAGGCAAUUGCUCAAUUAAAAAAUCUGAGGUUGAUCUUUAGGUUGUAUUUGGAUGCUUAUAAGAUCUUCAAAGCAUAUGAAAUAUGAAGCAAUUUAUUCUUUCUUACCUUAACAAUGCACUAGCUUACUUUAGAAAACCCAAUAGCCAAUUGUCUAAUAGUUUUAUCUAAUGCAACUGAAUUCGACAUCAGAACGCAAAAAGAAGCCUACAACUUUGUUGUAGGUUGAAUUGCUUAUUUUAAUAGCUCUGAUUGUUUCCAUCGUCCGAUAUGUAUAUCUUUUGAUUCCCACAUACUCUCGAAUGCUUCUCUGCUAUUGUUAUUCAUUUGAUUUCGACACCAAUGUACAAUUUUCACAGUUCAACCGAGGAAAACAUAGUGGUAGCAAUGGAGACUGUUUGAGGUUGUUUUAAUGUUCUUUGUUCUUGAAACAUAACUACUUAGUGAAAAUAAUCCAACUUUAUUUCUUUCUUUGAUAGUUUCAGCGUGCAUUCUUCACAUCCCAAAUCUCAAGGCGCUUAGUCAUUGGUAAGUAGAUCACCACUUGAUUCCAUGUCACUAAGGAAGCGAUUAGCUUAUAGUCUCUUACUACACAGGUACAUUUAGUUUAUAUGUUUUGAUUUAUGUUUUAGUAAAUGGGUUUAUAUUAAAGUUUUAUCACCUAAAUUUCUGAAAUGUAUAAGUUUGAAUAAGACAAACCAAAAUACCAAGGGUUCUACCUGUAUGGAAGAGAUAUAAACCCAAAAUAAUGUGCGCUUAUUGUAACUAAGUUUUGUGCAGUUUGAAGGUAGACCAUUGGAGGGUACAAAGUAGAUAGAAGAACAUGCUCAGUUCAAGAAGGGUUGUUAUUAUCAAGGGAUGAUGAUCCAAGCAAGCUUUAUAAAAGUAUGUAGAAGGUCAAUGGCAUUUGUCUUGUCAUAGGUUUUACAUGGCUAAUGUUUAGUGUUAAUUAACCUUCCCCGCCGCAACGCGGGUGAGAUUUUCUAGAGUUUGUCUACAUUAAGCCAGAAUUUGUAAGCCCCCGACCGCAACGCGACGGGGGAGUUCCAUCUAGUUUUUAUUUCUAUUUUGUGUCACCCUUUGUUUAUUUGUUUAAUAAAGACCAACACUUUGUUUUUUUC